rnacentral:rRNA from 1 species
GGGUGAACGCUAGCUACAGGCUUAACACAUGCAAGUCGAGGGGCAUCAGGAAGAAAGCUUGCUUUCUUUGCUGGCGACCGGCGCACGGGUGAGUAACACGUAUCCAACCUGCCCUUUACUCGGGGAUAGCCUUUCGAAAGAAAGAUUAAUACCCGAUAGCAUAAUGAUUCCGCAUGGUUUCAUUAUUAAAGGAUUCCGGUAAAGGAUGGGGAUGCGUUCCAUUAGGUUGUUGGUGAGGUAACGGCUCACCAAGCCUUCGAUGGAUAGGGGUUCUGAGAGGAAGGUCCCCCACAUUGGAACUGAGACACGGUCCAAACUCCUACGGGAGGCAGCAGUGAGGAAUAUUGGUCAAUGGGCGGUAGCCUGAACCAGCCAAGUAGCGUGAAGGAUGAAGGCUCUAUGGGUCGUAAACUUCUUUUAUAUAAGAAUAAAGUGCAGUAUGUAUACUGUUUUGUAUGUAUUAUAUGAAUAAGGAUCGGCUAACUCCGUGCCAGCAGCCGCGGUAAUACGGAGGAUCCGAGCGUUAUCCGGAUUUAUUGGGUUUAAAGGGAGCGUAGGUGGACUGGUAAGUCAGUUGUGAAAGUUUGCGGCUCAACCGUAAAAUUGCAGUUGAUACUGUCAGUCUUGAGUACAGUAGAGGUGGGCGGAAUUCGUGGUGUAGCGGUGAAAUGCUUAGAUAUCACGAAGAACUCCGAUUGCGAAGGCAGCUCACUGGACUGCAACUGACACUGAUGCUCGAAAGUGUGGGUAUCAAACAGGAUUAGAUACCCUGGUAGUCCACACAGUAAACGAUGAAUACUCGCUGUUUGCGAUAUACAGUAAGCGGCCAAGCGAAAGCAUUAAGUAUUCCACCUGGGGAGUACGCCGGCAACGGUGAAACUCAAAGGAAUUGACGGGGGCCCGCACAAGCGGAGGAACAUGUGGUUUAAUUCGAUGAUACGCGAGGAACCUUACCCGGGCUUAAAUUGCAGUGGAAUGAUGUGGAAACAUGUCAGUGAGCAAUCACCGCUGUGAAGGUGCUGCAUGGUUGUCGUCAGCUCGUGCCGUGAGGUGUCGGCUUAAGUGCCAUAACGAGCGCAACCCUUAUCUUUAGUUACUAACAGGUCAUGCUGAGGACUCUAGAGAGACUGCCGUCGUAAGAUGUGAGGAAGGUGGGGAUGACGUCAAAUCAGCACGGCCCUUACGUCCGGGGCUACACACGUGUUACAAUGGGGGGUACAGAAGGCAGCUAGCGGGUGACCGUAUGCUAAUCCCAAAAGCCUCUCUCAGUUCGGAUCGAAGUCUGCAACCCGACUUCGUGAAGCUGGAUUCGCUAGUAAUCGCGCAUCAGCCACGGCGCGGUGAAUACGUUCCCGGGCCUUGUACACACCGCCCGUCAAGCCAUGGGAGCCGGGGGUACCUGAAGUGCGUAACCGCAAGGAUCGUCCUAGGGUAAAACU